ensembl:miRNA mdo-mir-191 mdo-mir-191
AGCGGGCAACGGAAUCCCAAAAGCAGCUGUUGUCUCCAGAGCAUUCCAGCUGCAAUUGGAUUUCGUUCCCUGCU